rnacentral:rRNA from 1 species
UGCUGGAGCCAUAUCUCCCUGCAGCUCUCCCUGAAGCUAAGCAGGGUUGAGCCUGGCCAGUACUUGGAUGGGAGACCUCCUGGGGAACAUUUAGGUUGCUGCUGCUG